rnacentral:rRNA from 1 species
GAUGAACGCUGGCGGCGUGCCUAAUACAUGCAAGUCGAGCGAACGGAUGAGGAGCUUGCUCCUCUGACGUUAGCGGCGGACGGGUGAGUAACACGUGGAUAACCUACCUAUAAGACUGGGAUAACUUCGGGAAACCGGAGCUAAUACCGGAUAAUAUAUUGAACCGCAUGGUUCAAUAGUGAAAGACGGUUUUGCUGUCACUUAUAGAUGGAUCCGCGCCGCAUUAGCUAGUUGGUAAGGUAACGGCUUACCAAGGCAACGAUGCGUAGCCGACCUGAGAGGGUGAUCGGCCACACUGGAACUGAGACACGGUCCAGACUCCUACGGGAGGCAGCAGUAGGGAAUCUUCCGCAAUGGGCGAAAGCCUGACGGAGCAACGCCGCGUGAGUGAUGAAGGUCUUCGGAUCGUAAAACUCUGUUACUAGGGAAGAACAAAUGUGUAAGUAACUAUGCACAUCUUGACGGUACCUAAUCAGAAAGCCACGGCUAACUACGUG